rnacentral:rRNA from 1 species
CGUAGGUGGCAAGCGUUGUCCGGAUUUAUUGGGUUUAAAGGGUGCGUAGGUGGCCCUGUAAGUCAGUGGUGAAAUAUCUCAGCUUAACUGAGAGGGUGCCAUUGAUACUGCGGGGCUUGAGUACAGAUGAGGUAGGCGGAAUUGACGGUGUAGCGGUGAAAUGCAUAGAUAUCGUCAAGAACACCGAUAGCGAAGGCAGCUUACCAAGCUGUAGCUGACACUGAGGCACGAAAGUGUGGGGAUCAAACAGGAUUAGAUACCCUGGUAGUCCACACUGUAAACGUUGAUGACUCGAUGUUGGCGAUACACAGCCAGCGUCCAAGAGCAAUCGUUAAGUCAUCCACCAGGGGAGUACGCCGGCAACGGUG